GCCGGGAGUGGUGGUGCACACCUGUAGUCCCAGCUACUUGGGAGGCUGAGGCAGGAUAAUUGCUUCAACCCGGGAGGCAGAGAUUGCAGUGAGCCAAGAUGACGCCACUGCACUCCUGCCUGGGUGAUAGAGCAAGACUCUGUCUCAA
rnacentral:SRP_RNA from 1 species